rnacentral:rRNA from 1 species
UGGUCAAGUUAUUAAGGGUGCAGGGCGGAUGCCUUGGCACUAGGAGCCGAUGAAGGACGUGAUAAGCUGCGAUAAGCUUCGGGGAGUUGCACGUAAACUUUGAUCCGAAGAUUUCCGAAUGAGGAAACUCACUUAGAGUAAUGUCUAAGUAUCAUUAAGUGAAUACAUAGCUUAAUGAGGGGAACUCAGGGAACUGAAACAUCUAAGUACCUGAAGGAAGAGAAAGAAAUUCGAUUCCGUAAGUAGCGGCGAGCGAACGCGGAUUAGCCCAAACCAAUAAAGUUUUCUUUAUUGGGGUUGCGGACAUAUCAUAACGGAGAGGUAUCGUAAUUGAAGAGGUUUGGAAAGACCCACCAC